UACCAGCACCCCGAGUGGUCGGGACGUUUAUUGGGCCUAAAGCAUCCGUAGCCGGUUCUACAAGCCUUCCGUUAAAUCCACCUGCUUAACAGAUGGGCUGCGGAAGAUACUAUGGAGCUAGGAGGCGGGAGAGGCAAGCGGUACUCGAUGGGUAGGGGUAAAAUCCGUUGAUCCAUUGAAGACCACCAGUGGCGAAGGCGGCUUGCCAGAACGCGCUCGACGGUGAGGGAUGAAAGCUGGGGGAGCAAACCGG
rnacentral:rRNA from 1 species